CCUACGGGUGGCUGCAGUGAGGAAUAUUGGUCAAUGGGCGGGAGCCUGAACCAGCCAAGUCGCGUGAGGGAAGACGGUCCUACGGAUUGUAAACCUCUUUUGCCGGGGAGCAACGGGGUCCUUGCGAGGGCCCAAUGAGAGUACCCGGAGAAAAAGCAUCGGCUAACUCCGUGCCAGCAGCCGCGGUAAUACGGAGGAUGCGAGCGUUAUCCGGAUUUAUUGGGUUUAAAGGGUGCGCAGGCGGCCUGUUAAGUCAGCGGUAAAAGCCCGGGGCUCAACCCCGGCGAGCCGUUGAAACUGGCGGGCUGGAGUUGGAGAGAAGUACGCGGAAUGCGCGGUGUAGCGGUGAAAUGCUUAGAUAUCGCGCAGAACCCCGAUUGCGAAGGCAGCGUACCGGCUCCACACUGACGCUGAGGCACGAAAGCGUGGGUAUCGAACAGGAUUAGAUACCCUUGUAGUC
rnacentral:rRNA from 1 species